CACUGCGCUGCGUGCGUCAAAGAGAAAUGUCAUAAAAAGUCAUUUUCGCGAGGUUUCCAAGGGCGAAAUGUUAUGUUUUGAUUUUUGAUUCAAUAAUUGUUGCUGUUGUGAUUGAUAUAAUGGGAUUUACUUGUCAUUUUUAUUAGUGCAGUGUUUGAAGUGAAGUGGUGAAGAUGAGGGUGUUGUUGUUAAUAUGUUUGAUUGGAUCCCUUUGUGGUGAUCAGGUGGACAAAGAUUCGAAGGAAAUUACGGAGUUAUCGCGUGCGAUCGACGACCGGCCGCUGUUGUUUGCCACGUUAGGAGGCGGCAUGGUGGCUGUGGACCCCAUAACAGGAAAUAUCAUAUGGAAGUUGAAAGACGAACCCGUAGUAAAAGUCCCCAAUCAGCAUGCCAACUUGAUGCCCCAAUUCUUGCCGGACCCUCGCCAUGGGUUCCUGUACAUGUACGGGCCGAGGGGUGACCAGCAGAUGUUGAAGAAGCUACCGUUCACCAUCCCCGAGCUGGUAGCCAACGCGCCAUGCCGGUCCACUGAUGGUAUCUUGUAUACAGGCAAGAAGAGUGACACGUGGUUCAUGUUGGAUCCUUUGACGGGGACUAGAGAACAUGUUUCAGGGUUUGACAAGUCGACAAUUUUCAAAAACGAAGCAGACCAAACGUGCGAUCCUGACAAAAAGCGCGGCAUCUAUGUAGCACGUACCGAGUACAACAUCCUGAUGCACGAUUCCAAGAAUGACAACCAUAAGUGGAAUGUCACUUUCUUCGACUACACCUCCCAUGCCAUGGGGAAGGAGAUGCUGAAUGAUUAUGGAGUAAUCCAUUUCACAUCGACAUCAAGCGGUCGCGUAAUGUCGUUCGACCGUAAGACCGGAGACCUGGUCUGGUCACAUAAUCUGGAGACUCCAGUAGUGGCAGCGUACCUACUGGAUAGGGAUGGACUCAUAUCCGUACCAUUCAACUCUAUUGGAGAUGACACGUUGGACCAUAUCAUGGAAGACGCUUCUACAGUCAGAAAUGGACAGGGGAUUAAGAAUUCUAAUAUCGAGUUGUACCCAACUUUGUACGUCGGCGAGCACAACCACGGCCUCUACGCAUUAUCCUCUCUCGUAGACAAGAACACGAUAACGAUAUCAACAGGACACGCUCAGCCCUUGCUCAUCGAAGGUCCCGCUACGGAGAAACUCGUCGACUCCGACCAGAGAUAUGAACCUUACAAAAAUGUUCAUUACAAACUCAACGACCUAAACCUUCACGUAUCAGCACCAUAUUUGCUACUAGGACAUUAUAAAGUCCCAGAACUGACAACUACAUGGUUGCCAAAACUUCCAAACUCGAAUUUCUUAAACCUAAAAGACUCCCAGAAUGACGCUCUAAAACUAAUCAACGGACAAGUGCAUACAGAAGGGAACAAUGAUGGCGAAAAUGAAACUAAUUUAAAGUCAAAUUCAAUCUCAGUGUCGGUUCAAACUGAUGAUUUUUUCGAAGGGUUCAACUUUAGACCUGAUUUGUGGUACAAGAAGGGAUAUAUUUGGCUGCAUCAGCAAGAGAAUAAGGCGUUGAAAGUGGCGCUCAUAAUACUCUGUGGGCUUGUCGUCACCAUGUUUUGGUAUCUUCGGUACCAGGCUAGAGAAUUCCAACAGCUGUCACAGGGAGGAUCCCGAGGGUCGAACGUGUCGACAUCAUCUCACGGGGAAGUGACAGGCCAGCUGGAAGAGAUAGGGGAUGGAGAAGUGCGCAUCGGGAAGAUCAGCUUCAAUACUGAUCAGGUGCUCGGCAAGGGGUGCGAAGGCACCUUUGUUUAUAGAGGUAUGUUCGACAAGCGAGCGGUAGCGGUAAAACGACUACUGCCCGAAUGUUUUACCUUCGCCGACCGAGAGGUGGCGCUGCUACGGGAGUCCGAUGCUCAUGCGCACGUCGUCAGGUAUUACUGUACGGAAAGAGAUAAACAGUUUAGGUACAUAGCCUUAGAGCUGUGUUCUGCAACGCUACAAGACUAUGUAGAGAAGAAGUUAAACUUCGAGUGUAAGAUAGACGCCGUAGAGGUACUUCGACAGGCUACCAUGGGCUUGUCACAUCUGCAUUCCAUGGAUAUUGUACAUAGAGACAUAAAACCGCACAACGUUCUUCUGUCAAUGCCCUCGGGGACGGGCGAGGUUCGCGCCAUGAUCUCGGACUUCGGUCUCUCCAAGAAGUUGAAUAUCGGUCGCGUGAGCUUCUCUCGCCGCUCUGGUGUGACUGGCACGGAUGGUUGGAUUGCGCCUGAGAUGAUCAAUGGCGAGAGGACGACAACUUCAGUGGAUAUAUUUUCUUUGGGCUGCGUGUUCUACUAUGUGUUGUCGAAAGGCCUCCAUCCUUUUGGAGACGUAUUGAGGCGACAGGCUAACAUACUCACUGGGGAGUAUAGUUUAGAUCAACUCGACAAAGUGUUGCCAGAAGAAGAGGUGGUGGUGACAAAGAUGCUCAUCCGCGCGAUGUUACACGCGAGGCCGGCGCAGCGCCCGCCAUGCCAGACCGUGCUCAAGUACCCCAUGUUCUGGGGCAAGCAGAGCAUACUCAAUUUUUUGCAGGACGUAAGCGACCAAGUGGAAAGCUGCGGCAUUGAAGGCGUGGCGCACCCGCUGGAGCGCGGCGUGCGGCGCGUGGUGCGCGGCGACUGGCGCGCGCACGUGUGCGGCCGCGUGGCCGGCGACCUGCGCGCGCGCCGCACCUACCGCGGGGACCGCGCCGCGCACCUGCUGCGCGCCAUACGGAACAAGAAACAUCACUACAGAGAACUAGAAGCUGAAGUCAGAGACAGUUUAGGAAAGUUACCUGACGGCUUCAUAACCUACUGGCUGCGGAGGUUCCCUCUACUCCUCCCACACGUUUGGUUGCAAAUGCAAGAGUUCCGCAACGAAGACAUUCUCCAAGCGUACUAUCCUCACAACUUCACGUUCAAUAGAGAAGAUGUCAUAGAGCUAUGUGAUGAUACGUACGAAGACGAGGUACCUAUUGAACAAUGCGAUCCGGAGAGGAAUGAGCUGUUUGUCAAGAGCAAAGUCUUCGUUGAUGAAAAUGAAUUUAGGUUCAGAAACGGUUCGCCUCGAAAGCGAAACGACUGGAGGAGCGAAGCGCAAGACUACAGAUCCAAACAAGACGACGUCAGAUUACGAGACCGACACUACAAGAAGAAGGAGAAGAAACGAGAAGAGAUCCCAGUGUGGACUCUUCCUAUGCAGUAGAGAUACCUACACACAUUACAUUACGCCUGUAAUCCCUUUCGGGAUGGGCAGUGUUACAAGUCGUCCGAAGACUAGUGACAGCCCGGGAUGAUAUGCAGCAUGAAGUAUUUAAGUCGGAAGCCCGGAAACCUUCAAGCAACCCCAUGUACCCCUAAGGGUACGCGACCUCUUUAUGAACCACUGACAUAGAGCAUAUUAUGACACGCCACUGCGGGUUAGUGCAUGUUUAAAUUGAAUCGUAUGUUGGGAGGAUUAAUCAUGACAAGUACCCGCGUAUUAAUAGAAGUGCGUUUAUUUAAUUAAAUUGAAGUAUAAAUCAAUAUCUGCCAAUUUGGGAAAUUAUUGUCUCAAUUUUAUUAUCUAAGUCGUUCGCGAACUUUCUAUUAAGUAAUCAGUGUCUAAUAGUCUGAUUGCGAACACUGUAACGCCCCUUGGGUAGAGAGAGACAGCACGAGUUAUAAUAAUGCUCACGAUAGAGACAGACAGAGUGGAGUGGAGCAUCCCGACCUCCUCCCGAUAGGCGUGUUAUAGCGCGAGCGAUCAGUCUGUAGUACCAAGUGAAGUGGCUAUUAAAUGUGGGAACAGAACUUCGUUCCUGCACUCAAUAUGCUAUAAGUGCGACAGAGAAAGCAACGCGUUCCUGCUCACACGUAUUAACGCCUCGCGUGAGUCUUUGACAUAAUUGUAAUGGUUAUGUGUCGAUAAUUCAGCACUGCAUGCGAAUUGUUAAAAUGUUGUGGACGUCAAAGCACAAAGCGCACACACGUCGUAUUGUGAUUUUAUUUAUUGUUGAGAAUUUACUAGUUUUAAGCGAGAUUGUGUAUAAGUCGUGUUACUUGGAUCUCUAAAGUGACUUAGCUUAAGGUUCGUUUUAACUAUGCCAUCCGAUACGAGGCGUAAUGUGGGUAUCAUAGUUAUACAUAAUUCGAUUUUCGUACGCCGUAGUUUUGCAGUAUAGUUAUGUUCAUUGCAAUAGGGACCAAAAUGGGUUAUGUUUAUACAUCUCUAAUGUGUUUUAAAAUGGUUUAAGCAUUUAUAGCUCAAACGAUUCAGUUAGAAUGAAAUUGAUCAGAAAUUAACAAUUUAGUAUUUAUUGAAUAUAGUUCGUUAAACGUUAGUUGUAGUAAUCUUACAAUGAUGUAUUAUUAAAGAAAAAUUCUAAUCAAAACUACCAAACUUAAUACUUUUUAUUGGAAUUAAGGCUAUGUAUUUACUUAUUUUACUGUAACAUUCCCUUGGUUGAGAGAGUAACUACUAUUUGACUCCAAAGGAAAAAAAAAUGUGUUUUUUUUUUAAUUUUAUGACAAUGUUUUAUAGCGAAAUGUUGGUAAAUUGUCCCACACAUUGGAUAAUGCAAUUUUUAUGGCCUCGAGUUCAUUAUUGGUCUGGGAACAUUCCAGUUUUUUUUUUAAUAUUUAAGGUUUUCUAUCAAUGUUUGUUGGUGCUAUGUGAACGUUAGAAAUGAGUGCAAACGUAAGUAGUUGAAAUAAGCGGAAUAUUUUCAGUAGGAGUAAGAGAAAAGUGAAAUAUCACAACUACUUUAAAGGCAUGUUCCUGUUACUUAUGUAAUGUAAUUGUAUAUAAUUCUGUGCAAUCCUGUACUAACUUACUUUGUCCGGCCAAGUAGUUAAUGCCAUAAUAUGCGGUAAAUCUACAAUACAUCAUGGUAUAGAAAACCAGGUAUGCUCAAAAGUGACAGCUAACAUUUCAAGGUUAGCCCAGCUGACGUCAUCCCUCCUGCGUUGCCAUUUCGUAAAAAUUAAAUUACCCACGACUAAUGUUUUUAUUAUUUUGCAAGGAAAUUUUGAACGUUUAAUAAAAUAUUAACUUAGUUUUUAAUGAUUUUUAUAAAUGUGACAAAGUAAUAGUAAUUAAAUAUUUCAAUCAGGAAUUCACUUAAUUAUCAAUAAUAAAAUUUACGUUAUUGGAAUGUUGGAGAUACCAAUUUAAUGUUAACACAGUGGUACCACUUACGUCUUCAAAGGGCAAUGGCGGCUUGUCAUAGGAUUGAUCAUACCUGGUUUUCUUAUACCAUGCAAUACGUCACGUUAAAAAUAAAGGCCAAAAUCUACCGGGUGACAGCCCUCAGCGCUCCUCAUUUGUCCGACCAAGUAGUUAAUGCCAAAUGCGGCAAAUCUACAGUA
rnacentral:misc_RNA from 1 species